rfam:Camelus ferus unplaced genomic scaffold scaffold61758, whole genome shotgun sequence.
GAGGGUAUAGCUCAGUGGUAGAGCAUGUGCUUCACACGCUCUGGGUUCAGUCCCCACUACCUCCU